AUACGGAGGGGGUUAGCGUUGUUCGGAAUUACUGGGCGUAAAGCGCACGUAGGCGGACUGGAAAGUUGGGGGUGAAAUCCCGGGGCUCAACCCCGGAACUGCCUCCAAAACUUCCAAUCUAGAGAUCGAGAGAGGUGAGUGGAAUUCCAAGUGUAGAGGUGAAAUUCGUAGAUAUUAGGAGGAACACCAGUGGCGAAGGCGGCUCACUGGCUCGAUACUGACGCUGAGGUGCGAAAGCGUGGGGAGCAAACAGGAUUAGAGACCCUAGUAGUCC
rnacentral:rRNA from 1 species